rnacentral:rRNA from 1 species
GAGAUGAGUUCUCCCUGACUCCUUGAGAGUCCUGAAGGAACGUUGAAGACGACGACGUUGAUAGGCCGGGUGUGUAAGCGCAGCGAUGCGUUGAGCUAACCGGUACUAAUGAACCGUGAGGCUUAACCUU